rnacentral:rRNA from 1 species
AGAGUUUGAUCCUGGCUCAGAAUCAACGCUGGCGGCGCGCUUAACACAUGCAAGUCGCACGAGAAAGUGGAGCAAUCCAUGAGUACAGUGGCGUACGGGUGAGUAACACGUGGAUCAUCUACCUCUUGAUGGGGAAUAACCCUGGGAAACCGGGGCUAAUACCGCAUAAGCCUGAAAAGGGAAAGCAGCAAUGCGUCGAGAGAGGAGUCCGCGGCCGAUUAGCUAGUUGGUAGGGUAAAAGCCUACCAAGGCAAUGAUCGGUAGCCGGCCUGAGAGGGCACACGGCCACACUGGCACUGAAACACGGGCCAGACUCCUACGGGAGGCAGCAGUGGGGAAUCUUGCACAAUGGAGGAAACUCUGAUGCAGCGACGCCGCGUGAGCGAUGAAGCCCUUCGGGGUGUAAAGCUCUUUCGGCAGGAACGA